rnacentral:rRNA from 1 species
CGUCUAGACGGAUGAGAAUAGGCUUCGGCCUCGUAUCUCAGCAGGCGAUCCCUCCGGCGGCCUCGAAGUGGUCGUCGGUAGUUCGCGUAUUGUAAUUUAGACACGUGCGGGGUCAAAUCCUUUGCAGACGACUUAGCUGUGCGAAACGGUCCUGUAAGCAGUAGAGUAGCCUUGUUGUUACGAUCUGCUGAGGGUAAGCCGUUCUUCGCCUAGAUUUCUC